GACGAACGCUGGCGGCGUGCUUAACACAUGCAAGUCGAACGAUGAAGAAAAGAAUCGAAGCUUCGGCAGAAAUUCAUUUCGGAUUAGUGGCAGACGGGUGAGUAACGCGUUAGCAACCUACCUCUUACAAAGGGAUAGCCUCGGGAAACCGGGAUUAAUACCAUAUAACAUUGUGACGAAGCAUUUCGAUGCAAUCAAAGCUACGGCGGUAAGAGAUGGGCUCGCGUCCCAUUAACCGGAUGGUGAGGUAACGGCUCACCAUAGUGACGAUGGGUAACCGGCCUGAGAGGGUGAACGGUCACACUGGAACUGAGACACGGUCCAGACUCCUACGGGAGGCAGCAGUGGGGAAUAUUGCACAAUGGAGGGAACUCUGAUGCAGCGACGCCGCGUGAGUGAUGAAGGAAUUCGUUUCGUAAAACUCUGUUCUAUGGGAAGAAAAGGACUGUACCAUAGGAGAAAGCUCCGGCUAAAUACGUG
rnacentral:rRNA from 1 species